rnacentral:rRNA from 1 species
AUUGAACGCUGGCGGCAGGCCUAACACAUGCAAGUCGAGCGGGGUUUUCGGACCUAGCGGCGGACGGGUGAGUAAUGCGUAGGAAGCUGCCCGAUAGAGGGGGAUACCAGUUGGAAACGACUGUUAAUACCGCAUAAUGUCUACGGACCAAAGUGUGGGACCUUCGGGCCACAUGCUAUCGGAUGGGCCUACGUGGGAUUAGCUAGUUGGUGAGGUAAUGGCUCACCAAGGCGACGAUCUCUAGCUGGUUUGAGAGGAUGAUCAGCCACACUGGAACUGAGACACGGUCCAGACUCCUACGGGAGGCAGCAGUGGGGAAUAUUGGACAAUGGGCGCAGGCCUGAUCCAGCCAUGCCGCGUGUGUGAAGAAGGCCUUCGGGUUGUAAAGCACUUUCAGCGAGGAGGAAGGGUGGUGUGUUAAUAGCACAUCAUUUUGACGUUACUCGCAGAAGAAGCACCGGCUAACUCUGUGCCAGCCGCCGCGGUAACAC